CCUACGGGAGGCAGCAGUGGGGAAUAUUGCUCAAUGGGGGAAACCCUGAAGCAGCAACGCCGCGUGGAGGAUGAAGGUUUUAGGAUUGUAAACUCCUUUUGUUAGAGAAGAUUAUGACGGUAUCUAACGAAUGAGCACCGGCUAACUCCGUGCCAGCAGCCGCGGUAAUACGGAGGGUGCAAGCGUUACUCGGAGUCACUGGGCGUAAAGAGUGCGUAGGCGGGGUAAUAAGUCAGAUGUGAAAUCCUGUAGCUUAACUACAGAACUGCAUUUGAAACUGUUACUCUGGAGUGUGGGAGAGGUAGGUGGAAUUCUUGGUGUAGGGGUAAAAUGCGUAGAGAUCAAGAGGAAUACUCAUUGCGAAGGCGACCUGCUGGAAUAUUACUGACGCUGAGGCACGAAAGCGUGGGGAGCAAACAGGAUUAGAUACCCUAGUAGUC
rnacentral:rRNA from 1 species